UACAGAGACUGCAAGCGUUAUUCGGAUUCACUGGGCGUAAAGGGUGCGCAGGCGGCCAUGUGUGUGAGGCGUGAAAGCCCGGGGCUUAACCCCGGAAUUGCACCUCAAACUACAUGGCUAGAGCAUUGGAGAGGGUAGCAGAAUUCACGGUGUAGCAGUGAAAUGCGUAGAUAUCGUGAGGAAUACCAGAGGCGAAGGCGGCUACCUGGACAAUUGCUGACGCUCAGGCACGAAAGCCGUGGGGAGCAAAAGGG
rnacentral:rRNA from 1 species